rnacentral:snRNA from 11 species
AUCCUUACCUGGCAGGGGAGAUACCAUGAUCACAAAGUGACCCUCCCAGGGUGAGUCUUAUCCAUUGUACUCCAGAUGUUCUGAGCUGACCCCUGAGAUUUUCCCAAAUGCAAGAAACUUGACUGUAUAAAA